AUUGAACGCUGGCGGCAGGCCUAACACAUGCAAGUCGAACGAGUGGCGGACGGGUGAGUAAUGUCGGGGAAACUGCCUGAUGGAGGGGGAUAACUACUGGAAACGGUAGCUAAUACCGCAUACCAUCAGAUGUGCCCAGGUGGGAUUAGCUUGUUGGUGGGGUAACGGCUCACCAAGGCGACGAUCCCUAGCUGGUCUGAGAGGAUGACAAGGCACACGGGAACUGUGAGACGGUCAAGACUCCUACGGUAGGCCGCAGGGGGGAAGAGUGCACAAUGGGCGCAAGGCUGAUGCAGCGAUGCCGCGUGGAUGAGGAAGGGCUGCGGGUUGUAAAGUUCUUUCAGCGGGGAGGCGUUACCUGCAGAAGAAGCACCGGCUAACUCCGUGCCAGCAGCCGCGGUAAUAC
rnacentral:rRNA from 1 species